rnacentral:rRNA from 1 species
UGGGGAAUAUUGCGCAAUGGGGGAAACCCUGACGCAGCAACGCCGCGUGCGGGAUGAAGGCCUUCGGGUUGUAAACCGCUUUCAGCAGGGAAGAUAAUGACGGUACCUGCAGAAGAAGCCCCGGCUAACUACGUGCCAGCAGCCGCGGUAAUACGUAGGGGGCAAGCGUUAUCCGGAUUCAUUGGGCGUAAAGCGCGCGCAGGCGGGUGUCUAAGCGGGACCUCUAAUCUCGAGGCUCAACCUCGAGCCGGGUUCCGAACUGGGCACCUCGGGUUCGGUAGGGGUAGAUGGAAUUCCCGGUGUAGCGGUGGAAUGCGCAGAUAUCGGGAAGAACACCGAUGGCGAAGGCAGUCUACUGGGCCGCAACCGACGCUGAGGCGCGAAAGCUGGGGGAGCGAACAGG